CCGACGAUAGGGGAGUUACGUCGGAGGGAAAGGAUGGGGAGAGGGAAGGAUGAGGAAGGGGAGGCCGACGAUAGGGGAGUUACGCCGGGGGGAAAGGAUGGGGAGAGAGAAGGAUGAGGAAGGGGAGGCCGACGAUAGGGGAGAUACGUCGGGGGGAAGGAUGGGAUGGGGGAAGGAUAGGGAGGGGAGGCCGACGAUAGGGGAGUUACGUCGGGGGGAAGGAUGGGAUGGGGGAAGGAUAGGGAGGGGUGGCUCCUCAACAGGAACGAGCUCACUAGGGCAUAUCGUGGUCACUAUUGUAGAUUGGGCUCGUCAUAUGCAGGACCGACUUCUUCGGAGACGACGAUAGCAGAUUCAUAGGCAUUUCCUCCAUUUUCAACGUUGGAUACAGCCAGCUCUUUAACAAGGUCGUCAUUUUCUUUCAUGAAGAUGUCCAGCGCUCUGACAAGAUCGUCAUUUUCCUCCUUGGAGACGUGCAGCGCUUUUACAAAGUUGUCAUUUUCCUCCAUGAAGAUGUCCAGCUCUUUGACAAGGUCGUUGAUUUCAUCCAUGGAUACGUGCAGCGCUUCUACAAGGUCGUCAUCAUUCUCCUUGGAGAUGUCCAUCGCUUCUACAAAGUCGUCAUCAUUAUCCUUUGAGAUGUCCAGCGCUUUUACAAAGUCGUCAUUUUCCUCCAUGAAGAUGUCCAGCGCUUUAUAAGGUCGUUAUUUUCUUCCUUGGAGAUGUGCAGUGCUUUUACAAAGUCGUCAUUUUCUUCCUUGGAAAUGUGCAGCGUUUUGACAAGGUCGUUGAUUUCAUUCAUGGAGAUUGUCAGCGCUUUUACAGAGUCGUCAUUUUCUUCCGUGAAGAUGUCCAAUGCUUUUAAAAGGUCGUCAUCAUCAUCCAUGGAGAUGGUCUGCGCUUUUACAAGGUCGUCAUCAUUCUCCUUGGAGAUGUCCAGCACUUUUACAAGGUCGUCAUCAUUCUCCUUGGAGAUGGUCUGCGCUUUCACAAGGUUUUGCAGUCUGUCAAUUUCUUCCUAGCGCUAGACAGGUCAUUGGCGAGAUCGUUGUUUUCGUGUCUCGAUAAGGACACUUCAUUGGCCAGACCGGUGUUUUCUUUGCGGAAAAGGGACAGGUAUUUUCGGAGCCUGUGAAUUAUUUUCCCAGCAUUUGACAGGUCAUUGGCCAGACCGGUGUUUUCUUUCCGGGAUAGGGACUGGCCUUUUCGCAGCCUGUCAACUUCUUUCCAAGCGUUAGACAGGUCAUUGGCCAGACCGGUGUUUUCUUUCCGGGAUAGGGACUGGCCUUUUCGCAGCCUGUCAAUUUCUUUCCAAGCGUUAGACAGGUCAUUGGCCAGACCGGUGUUUUCUUUCCGGGAUAGGGACUGGCCUUUUCGCAGCCUGUCAAUUUCUUCCCUAGCGUUAGACAGGUCAUUGGCCAGACCGGUGUUUUCUU